UCCCAGAUAGCUCAGUUGGUAAAGCAUCUGCCUGCAAUGCAGGAGACCCAGGUUCGAUUUCUGGGGCGGGAA
rnacentral:tRNA from 1 species